rnacentral:rRNA from 1 species
CAGCCGUAAACUAUGCGCGUUAGGUGUACUGGUGACCACGAGUCACCGGGGUGCCGAAGGGAAACCGUGAAACGUGCCGCCUGGGAAGUACGGUCGCAAGGCUGAAACUUAAGGAUUGGCGGGGGAGCACCACAACGGGUGGAGCCUGCGGUUUAAUUGGACUCAACGCCGGAAAUCUCACCGGAUAGGACAGACAUAUGAUAGUCGGGCUGAAGACUCUACUUGAUGAUCUGAGAGGAGGUGCAUGGCGUCAGUGACU